rnacentral:tRNA from 3 species
UGGGGAAUGGCCAAGCGGUAAGGCAACGGGUUUUGGUCCCGUCAUCGGAGGUUCGAAUCCUUCUUCCCCAGCCA